CAACCCUCAAGCUCUGCUUGGUGUUGGGGAUCAGCGUUAGUGCCUUCGGGUGCUGCUGUCCCCUAAAUCUAGUGGCGGUCCCGCUGUAGCCUCCUCUGCGUAGUAGUUUUCUCCUCGCUCUGGAAUCUCAGUGGUGCCCUGCCGUUAAACCCCCAACUUCUGAAA
rnacentral:misc_RNA from 1 species